UACGGAGGGUGCGAGCGUUGUCCGGAAUCAUUGGGCGUAAAGGGUGCGUAGGUGGCCCGGUCAGUCUUUGGUGAAAGCGCGGGGCUCAACCCUGCGUCGGCCAGGGAUACUGCCGCGGCUCGAGCACUGUAGAGGCAGGCGGAAUUCCGGGUGUAGCGGUGGAAUGCGUGGAGAUCCGGAAGAACACCGGUGGCGAAGGCGGCCUGCUGGGCAGUUUAGCUGACACUGAGGCGCGACAGCGUGGGGAGCAAACAGG
rnacentral:rRNA from 1 species